rnacentral:sRNA from 1 species
UUUGUGGUAUAACAACAGAAAAGUAAUGUUUGUGACGGUGGCUAUCUUUUGAAAGGUGGUGGUGCUUAUGAAAAUAAGUGCUAACUCUUUAGAAAGUAGAAGCCUUUUGUCUGUAGCUUAAGCAUUAGGGGGAAUGAUUAGUUUCGGUUCUUUAAUCGCAACGAUC